GGCUCGGUGUUCAAGGGGUAUAAUGCUUGCUUCUGGUGUGGGAGGUCCUGGGUUCAAAUUCUGGACGAUCCC